CCCUUAGAUGUUCUGGGCCGCACGCGUGCUACACUGAGUGGAUCAGCGGGUCAGGUUGCGCGAAAGCGUUUCCUAAUCUUUAAAUCCGCUCGUGAUGGGGAUUGACGGUUGCAAUUUUCUGUCGUGAACGAGGAAUUCCUAGUAAGUGCAAGUCAUCAGCUUGCGCUGAUUACGUCCCUGCCCUUUGUACACACCGCCCGUCGCUACUACCGAUUGAAUGGUUUAGUGAGAUCUCUGGAUUGACGCUGGCUAGGGGGCGACCCUUGGCCAGACUGUUGAGAAACUGCUCAAACUUGAUCAUUUAGAGGAAGUAAAAGUCGUAACA
rnacentral:rRNA from 1 species